rnacentral:rRNA from 1 species
UUUCUUUUUAUCAUUUUCUGUCUCAAAGAUUAACCCAUGCAUGUCUAAGUAUAAGCAAUCUAUACUGUGAAACUGCGAAUGGCUCAUUAAAUCAGUUAUCGUUUAUUUGAUAGUACCUUACUACUUGGAUAACCGUGGUAAUUCUAGAGCUAAUACAUGCUAAAAACCCCGACUUCGGAAGGGGUGUAUUUAUUAGAUAAAAAACCAAUGCCCUUCGGGGCUCCUUGGUGAAUCAUGAUAACUUAACGAAUCGCAUGGCCUUGUGCCGGCGAUGGUUCAUUCAAAUUUCUGCCCUAUCAACUUUCGAUUGUAGGAUAGAGGCCUACAAUGGUUUCAACGGGUAACGGGGAAUUAGGGUUCUAUUCCGGAGAGGGAGCCUGAGAAACGGCUACCACAUCCAAGGAAGGCAGCAGGCGCGCAAAUUACCCAAUCCCGAUACGGGGAGGUAGUGACAAUAAAUACUGAUACAGGGCUCUUUUGGGUCUUGUAAUUGGAAUGAGUACAAUUUAAAUCUCUUAACGAGGAACAAUUGGAGGGCAAGUCUGGUGCCAGCAGCCGCGGUAAUUCCAGCUCCAAUAGCGUAUAUUAAAGUUGUUGCAGUUAAAAAGCUCGUAGUUGAACCUUGGGCCUGGCUGGCCGGUCUGCCUCACCGCAUGUACUGGUUCGGCCGGGUCUUUCCUCCUGGGGAUCCGCAUGCCCUUCACUGGGUGUGUUGGGGAACCAGGACUUUUACUUUGAAAAAAUUAGAGUGUUCAAAGCAGGCCUUUGCUCGAAUACAUUAGCAUGGAAUAAUAGAAUAGGACGUGCGGUCCUAUUUUGUUGGUUUCUAGGACCGCCGUAAUGAUUAAUAGGGAUAGUCGGGGGCAUCAGUAUUCAGUUGUCAGAGGUGAAAUUCUUGGAUUUACUGAAGACUAACUACUGCGAAAGCAUUUGCCAAGGAUGUUUUCAUUAAUCAGUGAACGAAAGUUAGGGGAUCGAAGACGAUCAGAUACCGUCGUAGUCUUAACCGUAAACUAUGCCGACUAGGGAUCGGGCGAUGUUAUUCUUUUGACUCGCUCGGCACCUUACGAGAAAUCAAAGUCUUUGGGUUCUGGGGGAGAGGCCAGG